rnacentral:rRNA from 1 species
UGGGGCUAAUACCUCAUAGACACAGAUAGCUGGAAUGCUUCUGUGUUCAAAGCUCCGGCGCCUGAGGAUGAGUCUGCGGCCUAUCAGGUUGUAGUCAGGGUCAUGACCUGACUAGCCAACGACAGGUACGGGGUGUGAGAGCACUUGCCCGGAGAUGGUUUCUGAGACACGAAACCAGGCCCUACGGGGCGCAGCAGGCGCGAAAACUUCGCAAUGCGGGAAACCGUGACGAGGGAACUCCAAGUGUCUAUGCAUUGCAUAGACUGUUUUUUAGCCUAAAUAGCUAAAAGAGUAAGAGGUGGGCAAGACCGGUGCCAGCCGCCGCGGUAACACCGGCACCUCGAGUGGUAGCCACUAUUAUUGGGCCUAAAGCGUUCGUAGCCGGUUUGGUAAAUUCUUGGGUAAAUCGUACAGCUUAACUGUGCGGAUUCCGGGGACACUACCAGACUUGAGACCGGGAGAGAUCAGAGGUACUUGUAGGGGAGCGGUGAAAUGUUGUAAUCCUACAGGGACCACCAGUGGCGAAGGCGUCUGAUCAUAACGGCUUUGACGGUGAGGAACGAAACCCUGGGGCGCAAACGGGAUUAGAUACCCCGGUAGUCCAGGGCGUAAACGCUGCUGACUUG